CCUCGCCCGCCACCCUGGCCUCGGGUAGGAGUGCCGACCUUGACUCUGGGACUAGAACUUCCUACGGAAAAGGAAGGCUCGGCUCCGCACCGUAGCGGGUCCAGGCCGCCCAGCAAUUACCGCUCGCCCGGAAGGUCGCUGCCAUGGCGUCCGCCUCUGAAGCCUGCUGGCGCUGCUCAGGAUCGGCUCCGCUAUGCGACGUGAGGCCACACGAAUUGACCUAAGGUACACAAGGUGAGCGCCCCAUUCCAUGUCUCCCCCCGCCCACCCUGGAUGAUUGGCUAGUCGCCAACACGUGACGGUGGGGGCACAGCCUGCCACUUGAGGGCGGGGCUCGGGACCGCCACGCUCACUUCCCCAGGUUGUUUUGAUGAUUCUCCUGCACACCGGAUUGUAGCUACUUCUCUGGAGAGCAUCUGUGAAAACUGGUUGCUGUGUCCAUUCGUCCCGCCACGGAUUCGGGUUGCUUGCACGACAUUAGGGCUAUUUAUUGGAGCAUGACAUAUCAGCUUCACCACUCAAGGACACUCCUGCCAGCAGCCUUUAACUGCCAAUAGUCCAUCAGAAAGGGCGGAGCCUCGUGAGUGCACCGCCCCCCAAACCGAUCCCUUGUCGGAGGAAGAAUGGUCUAGAUAGGGUCUACUUGGUGCUCUCCCUCCCAGACCCCAGAUAUAGGACCUCUACUGUGACAUUUGGAGAAGAUGGCUGUCAUUCUCAUCCCCUCAAUUCCCUCCAUGAGUCACUCAAAGCUAUAGGAUCUUUUUCUUUCCUUUCUUUCUCUCUCUCUCUCUUCCUUCCUUCCUUCCUUUUCUUUUUCUUUUUUUUUUUCUUUUUUUUUUUUUUUUUUUUUUAGUGGACUGUGUUUGAGAAGGUGGCUGAAAGAUCAAAGAGGGGAGUUGUAGGUCUGGACAUCUCAGAAACCGUUUCUACAUGGAAUGAGGGGCAGAAGCCUGCUACAGAAAGGCCCUCUGAGCUCUGGGUAUUGUUUGCUUACAGCAACUAAGAUUACAUACCCUAAGUCAUAUAGACUGGAGCCAUGUUACUGUCUAUCACACAGCUAGUGGUUAAGGCUGAGAGGACGGGAUUAUUUAUUUAUGAGGAACUGUAUUUAUGAUGGAAUGUGAAAGGGCAAUGAACUAGAGAGGUCUCAGUGGUCUUAGAAAAUUGUCAACUUAGGGAUAACAUAGAAGCCAGCAGCUGUUUCAAAACACGUUUCCUCAACCUUUCAUCCUCAACUAGAUUACUCAAAACUAACAAAUACACAACAGUUCACCUCCCCAGCCUCUGGUCUCUGUAGCACAAUAUAUUGCAACAUGGGCAAGUGAAAGGCAACAGAGCAAAGACUUAUUAGAAUGGCUUAAAGGCCCAGAUAGUCCAACAAUGGCUGCCUACCAAUGGAAGGUCCAAGAAUUCAGUUUUUCAGUCCAUGAGGCUGAUAUCUCAGCUUGUCUUCAGUAUAUGCUGGAAUCCCAAAGAAGUAAGCUCUAAUGCCAGAGAAGGAAUGGACUUGCCAUCAAGAGCAAAGGCAGGUCUGCAAAGAGGAGGCACAUCUCCUACUUCUGUGUCCCUUAUAUAGGCUGCCAGCAGAAGGUAUGGUCCAAAAUUAAUAAUGUAUCUUCCUAUCUCAACGAUCUGGCUCAGAAGUAAGUCUUCCCACAUCAGAUGGGGUUUUUUUGGUUGUUGUUGUUGGUUUUUUUGUUUUGUUUUGUUUUUUGUUUUGUUUUGAGACAGGGCUUCUCUGUAUAGCCCUGGCUGUCUUGGAACUCACUUUGUAGACCAGGCUGGCCUUGAACUCAGAAAUCCGCCUGCCUCUGCCUCCCGAGUGCUGGGAUUAAAGGCAUGCACCACCACGCCCGGCUCACAUCAAAUGAUUUAAUUAAGAACAAAAUAAACCCUCACAGGUGUUUUUUGAGUUUCAGAUGUAGUCAAGUUGAUGACCAAGAAGAACCACUAUAUUAUACUUGUAGUAUUAAAAUCCAUCCUGCAAGAAUUCCUUUAGCAGGAUGGAAACCAACUCAAAACAGCUUCAGGAAGUCCCUGAAACUGACCAAAUUUACUAGACUCCUCCCUGCUAUAGUAAGCAAUAAAUGCUGAGAGUCCCAUUUAGACAAAGUGAAGCCAAGCUGCAAAAAAGUAUCUUGAGACCAGACUAGUCCUGAAGAAACAGACUAGUCAAGCUGCUUGGGAGAGGUUUAGACUAGAGUCUCUUGAAAAGGACACUACAACCUGUAGAGCCUUCAGGCUGCUUCCAGGUUUUGUGAGCUGUCACCCAUGCUGGGCUGGGCUUUGGUGAUGCAGCUGUCUUUGACUCUGAUUUCUGUUCCUGCAAGUAACUCCUCACCCACAGUCCAGCAAGUAACCCCAAUAAAACUCAUUAGUUCACC